rnacentral:tRNA from 1 species
UGCGACCGUAGUGUAGUGGUAUCACGGCGGCCUUCCAAGCCGCCAACGAGGGUUCGAUUCCCUCCGGUCGCAUGAG